UACGAAGGUGGCAAGCGUUACUCGGAAUUACUAGGCGUAAAGGGCAGGUAGGCGGUUCGGUUAGUCUGUUGUGAAAGUCUCUGUCUAACGGGGAGAGGCCAACAGAUACUGCCGAGCUUGAGUAUAGGAGAGGGUACUGGAAUUCCCGGUGUAGCGGUGAAAUGCGCAGAUAUCAGGAGGAACACCGAUGGCGAAGGCAGGUCUCUGGGCCACUACUGACGCUGAGAAGCGAAAGCAUGGGGAGCGAACAGG
rnacentral:rRNA from 1 species